rnacentral:rRNA from 1 species
AGUGAGCGCUGGCGGUAGGCCUAACACAUGCAAGUCGAACGGCAGCACAGUAAGCUCUUGCUCUUACGGGUGGCGAGUGGCGGACGGGUGAGGCAUACAUCGCAAUCUACUUUUUCGUGGGGGAUAACGUAGGGAAACUUACGCUAAUACCUCAUACGACCUACGGGUGAAAUCAGGGGAUCUUCGCACCUUGCGCGAUUGAAUGAGCCGAUGUCGGAUUAGCUAGUUGGCGGGGUAAAGGCCCACCAAGGCGACGAUCCGUAGCUGGUCUGAGAGGAUGAUCAGCCACACUGGAACUGAGACACGGUCCAGACUCCUACGGGAGGCAGCAGUGGGGAAUAUUGGACAAUGGGCGCAAGCCUGAUCCAGCCAUACCGCGUGGGUGAAGAAGGCCUUCGGGUUGUAAAGCCCUUUUGUUGGGAAAGAAAAGAAGCAGGUUAAUACCCCGCUGUUCUGACGGUACCCAAAGAAUAAGCACCGGCUAACUUCGUG